UAGGGAAUCUUCCACAAUGGGCGAAAGCCUGAUGGAGCGACGCCGCGUGUGUGAUGAAGGGUUUCGGCUCGUAAAACACUGUUGUAAGAGAAGAAUGACAUUGAGAGUAACUGUUCAAUGUGUGACGGUAUCUUACCAGAAAGGAACGGCUAAAUACGUACCAG
rnacentral:rRNA from 1 species